rnacentral:lncRNA from 1 species
CUGGGAGUUUGAAACAGGCUGUGCCCCUUGCUGUUGUGAUGGGUUAUUUAGGGCCAGCGUUAGGCAACUCCCAUUACUUACGUUUGCAGGAGGUCCUGGCUAACUCCACUAAGGUUGCCGCUCAUUCGGGAAUUCACAGGAUGUCCUGAUUUCUGUGGGUCUCUCCCAGUGGGCAGUUAAGUCGCCCAAAUCAUUUUGGAUGCCAUAUUUCAUCAGCAUGAUGUAACGGUGUUGGGUCAAGGCCUGGAGAUACAAACAUCAUAGUUAUUCUAGGAACAGGUUGGAUUUAGGGACCGAAAGCUAACCUAAGUGGGGGGACACCAAAACCCUCCUUCCCUCCUGCGGCUGUUGCAGCUCUUGAUCCAGGCUGAGGAGGAUGCAAAGCAGUACCUGUUCAGAUGAGCCCGCUGCUGGGAGAUCCCACUCUGAUAUUAAGUAAGAGCUGUGCAUGGAUUUCGUUUUCAUGAGAGUGACACACCAACAGGACUGGCACCAGUCAGGGUCACAUAUGUUGGAACAUGUUUUGCCCUGGCUUUCUCUGCAAACAGGAAAUAACAGUUCUGCUGCAGCCCUGUGGUAUGAAAGCUCAUUACCAGGAAGAACUUCAGUGCAGUUAACAUCUCGU